UAAGACGAACCGUGCGAACGUUGUUCGGAAUCACUGGGCUUAAAGGGCGCGUAGGCGGGCCACCAAGUCUGGGGUGAAAGCCCCCGGCUCAACCGGGGAAUUGCCUGGGAUACUGGUGGUCUGGAGGGAGGUAGGGGCAGCGGGAACUUCCGGUGGAGCGGUGAAAUGCGUUGAUAUCGGAAGGAACGCCGGUGGCGAAAGCGCGCUGCUGGACCUCUUCUGACGCUGAGGCGCGAAAGCCAGGGGAGCGAACGGGAUUAGAUACCCCGGUAGUCCUGGCCCUAAACGAUGGGUACUAGGUAGGGGACUUGACAUGGGUUCCCUGCCGAAGCAAAAGUGAUAAGUACCCCGCCUGGGGAGUAUGGUCGCAAGGCUG
rnacentral:rRNA from 1 species